rnacentral:ncRNA from 1 species
UUCAGAUCAAGGUCACGCUGGCGUUCUACCAAAAGCAGUCCAAUCGCUCUAUUUUAGAAUGGUUGUACGAAAACUUGAAAGUAGGCGCAGUGCGGGAUCGAAAUGAUGGGAUGAGUGAGUAUGACAUAGAAGGUUUCGUUCCAGUGCAGCAAGCAUUGGAGUUGCUUGAACCUUAUGUUAUUUUGAAACGCGAGCAAGUUGAAAUGGCGCUUCAAUUGAUUGAUGAAAUAACAAGUCAAUCAGAACCAUCUCCGCAGGAAUUUCUGGAGUGGUGUGCGAAAGUGGAGAUCUUUCAAACCCUAAACUACACCAAGAAUCGCAAACAUACUUAUGAAAGUGUGCGGGCGGUUCUGGAGAGCAAGGGUUAUCUUGUACCCCCGUAACGACUGAGUGUACGAACAGAACUCUCGAUGGCGUUCCCUUCUUCGAAAUGAAGAAAAUCCAUGAGCGUCAUAAUACGUCGGCGCCUCGAAAGAGGCGAUGGUAUAGUCUAUCUUCAAGGUAACUUGGAGAUGCGUGAGACAGGUCGGUCUCUAUCCACUGUGGGCGCAAGGGAUUUGCGAGGAUCUGCUCCUAGUACGAGAGGACCGGAGUGGACUGACCUCUGGUGUGCCAGUUGUUCCGCCAGGAGCAUCGCUGGGUAGCUAUGUCGGGCAGAGAUAACCGCUGAAAGCAUCUAAGUGGGAAACUCGCCUCAAGAUGAGAUCCCUCAUCCAGUUAAUGGAGUAAGACCCCAGGUAGACUACCUGGUAUAUAGGCAGCAAGUGUACGCACAGUAAUGUGUUGAGCUAAGCUGUACUAAUGGUCGAGGGCUAAUCCCG